rnacentral:rRNA from 1 species
UAGGGAAUAUUGCGCAAUGGAGGAAACUCUGACGCAGCAAUGCCGCGUGAGUGAUGAAGGCCUUAGGGUCGUAAAACUCUGUCGUUAGGGAAAAAAAAGUUAAGGUUAAUAUCCUUAAAAAUUGAUGGUACCUAACAAGAAAGCACCGGCUAACUACGUGCCAGCAGCCGCGGUAAUACGUAGGGUGCGAGCGUUGUUCGGAAUUACUGGGCGUAAAGCGCAUGUAGGCGGCUAUGUAAGUCAGAUGUGAAAGCCUAGGGCUCAACCUUAGAAGUGCAUCUGAAACUAUAUAGCUUGAAUAUGGAAGAGGGCAGUGGAAUUCCUGGUGUAGUGGUGAAAUACGUAGAUAUCAGGAGGAACAUCGGUGGCGAAGGCGGCUGCCUGGUCCAAUAUUGACGCUGAGAUGCGAAAGCGUGGGGAUCAAACA